rnacentral:rRNA from 1 species
AGGACGAACGCUGGCGGCGUGCUUAACACAUGCAAGUCGAACGAGGCCCUCCCUUCGGGGAGGUGACCUAGUGGCGAACGGGUGAGUAACACGUGGGCAACCUGCCCUCAGCUCUGGGAUAACUGCCGGAAACGGGAGCUAAUACCGGAUACGACCAAGAGCGACAUCGCUUUUGGUGGAAAGUUUUUCGGCUGAGGAUGGGCCCGCGGCCUAUCAGCUUGUUGGUGGGUAAUGGCCCACCAAGGCGACGACGGGUA